rnacentral:rRNA from 1 species
GUUCGGCCCUCGGCGGACUGCUCAGUAACACGUGGAUAACCUGCCCUCAGGUGGGGGAUAAUCUCGGGAAACUGAGGAUAAUACCCCAUAGGCCAUUGAUGCUGGAAUGCUCUCUGGCCGAAAGCUCCGGCGCCUGAGGAUGGGUCUGCGGCCUAUCAGGUAGUAGUUGGGGUAACGGCCCAACUAGCCUGCGACGGGUACGGGCCUUGAGAGAGGGAGCCCGGAGAUGGACUCUGAGACACUAGUCCAGGCCCUACGGGGCGCAGCAGUCGCGAAAACUUCACACUGCGGGAACCCGUGAUGAGGGAACCCCAAGUGCCUGGGCAUUAGCUCAGGCUGUUCACCUGUCUAAAAAACAGGUGGAGUAAGGGCUGGGUAAGACCGGUGCCAGCCGCCGCGGUAAUACCGGCAGCCCAAGUGGUGACCAUUUUUAUUGAGCCUAAAACGUCCGUAGCCGGUCCGGCAAAUCCCUGGGCAAAUCGGGCAGCUCAACUGUUCGACUUCCAGGGAGACUACCGGACUAGGGACCGGGAGAGGCCAGAGGUACGUCGGGGGUAG